UUUUGUUAGUGGCGGUGGUGGGGCUGGACGUGAAGAGCAGAAGACGAGGCGGCGUGGAGGCUGGGUAGGAGGAGAGAGAGUGGGGGUGAAGAGGUCUAGAUGAGGUGACGGCGGAGGUUACCGCAGAGGUCGGCCUUUGGGAUUAGGCUUGGGGCCGUUGGGGUUAGGGGGGAAGCUCUACCGGUACGAGAAGUCCGGCGGAGGGUUGGGGCGCGGCUGGCGGCGCGGGUACAAGGGGCCGCGGCGGCCGGGCGGCGGCGUGAGGCCGGGGAUGAGGAUGGGGGGCCGGUGGGGAGGGAAGGUGGAGGCGGGGAUGGAGGUGAUGGGCGUCCUAGGGGUCGGGGGGUACGGGGCGGGCCAGUAGGGGAAGGGGUACGGGUUGGGCUUGCGCUUGGGGUUGGGCCCGCGAUUGGGGUACCGGCGGCGCCCGGGGUUGGGGCCGCGGGCGGAGUACGUCGACGAGCCGUCGAGGCCGAGCCCGGUGGAGCUCAGGCGCCAUAGGUACGGGGGCGGCAGCAGCCUCAAGCGGCGGCGCGUCGGCAGCGGCGAGGGCCGCUACGGUAGGCGCGGCGGCCGCUCCUACGAGUCGUCGUGGUCGUCGUUCCACGGGUCUCCAGCCGAAGACCCACCGCCCCUGUUCCGCCACGUGUUGCAACUGAGCUCCGACGGACCCCUCCGCGUCGGCGGUGUCGACCUCCACUGCGGCUAGUGGUUCAUGUGCAGUCUGGGUCCAGAACACGACCCGUCCGUCUAGCGACACUUGGCCUGCAUGUAGCAGAUACCCGAGUUCGACCCCUUGUAGGCACACGAUUUGUAGUUGUGGCGCGAAGCCAGUGACGAGGCACCGGUAUGUGUCUCCCAGUGCCUGUACCGAAAGAAGCGACUCCUGCAGGUAGCAAAUCGUUCGCGUUCACAACUACCUGCCUAUAUGCACACCUCCUAACUACUCCCCGGGCUACGUCUUUUAUUUGGUGUUUAAUGUCCUUUCUAUCUUCAACGGUAUGUUUAACAUCCACUACGGCUUCGAAUGGUAGGUUCCUAUACAACCGUGAGAGUAUUCGUUCUUGAAGACAAACAACCUUAGUCUUUGACACAGAAUUCUUAUCUGUGUUGAUUUCACCCUUCCCCUUCUCUGAAAUUACGACUUCUUGGAUAGUUUACAGUAGAACUGCUCGAAUAACUACCACAUGCGAACCAACCAUCCGUACUGCCACUACACUGUCUAAACAGGUAUAGAGUCACCUACUGAUGGGCUGACCGAAGUCCUAGUUUACUACCGUGCCAUUUCUAAACCCUGCUAGCGUUCAAUCGCGGAGAUAGCUAAGAUUUCGGUGUACUACCAGUUCGACAAAUGAGUCAACGGAAAGAAUGUCGUGGACUCGCGGGCGUAGUAUAUUUAGAGUAGUGACGACCAGGAGAUUUGGCUCUUUAAUUUUAAACCCGAAGAUGAUUACUUCUUCCAACCAACAACGGUUCGCUGAGACUCUGAACCUUAACGUGCGUCUGGGACCUUGAACAAUCAAGAGACCUUGGAUUUCAGCUCCUCCGUAAAAAGUUAGUUCAACGUCACGACGGAGUUCGUUCGUAAUAGAAUGAACGCUUACGCUUCUUCUUACGAUAAAUGCGACACGUACAACUCAUACCGAGUCUGGGGCGAAGAUGGGCGAACCUAAUAUAGCGUCUAAAAUGUCAGCGCUACGGAUAAAAUUCAGAAUGACCAUGUGUACUUUCGGUUGGACUACCACUCGUCCAUCAAGUUCAGAUAACACAGGUUUGUUACCGGUAGGUCGUCAUACCCGACCUCAAUAGUGAAACAAGCGGAGGAUGUAGACUAUGAUUGAGUAAACCUUCUCUGGGACGAUAAAGUGCACAAAUACUAUGUGGAGACCUUCACCAUCCUCGUCUCAGUAGGUGCCCUUGAUCGCAAUGUCUAAGAAUGUGGCAGCCAUGAAGCUCAUUUGUUAGUUGAAAACUAGUCUGACGUCUCAAACUAGAAUUCGGUAGUCGAGGUGGUGAAUGUAUGUGUCUUCCACUACCAAGACACGUAGAAGUCAGACGGGGAGAACGUAGUUUGUGACUAGAAUGACCUAGUCCUGGUCAUCCGUUGGCACUGUUUCUGGUUAGUCGAAAACUAAUAAGCUGUUCGGCUUAGUGACUCGGUCAACGGAACUGAUCCGUUCUGUGUGGGUACGGUUUUGGUCAACGGGAGCGAUCCGUUCUAUGUGGGUACGGUUUUGGUCAACGGGAACGAUCCGUUCUAUGUGGGUACGGUUUCCUGUUAAAACCUUUCCUACUUAAUUCUCUGUCGUUGUCACUACAAGUCUACGAGGGUUUAGGAGCGUACUACAAAUUCCAUCCUCCUUUACGGUGAGUAGAGUAUUGAGGUAGACUUUAAUAUAGUCCACGAGACAGACGACUUUCGUUAGUCUAGAGAUUUAGACUACCACGUUUUUAGGUCCUACUGAGAUAAUCAUCGGGAGCCUAACGUCUUCACCUUCGUUUUGUACAGUUACUCCCAUUUAGAUUAGUACUAAACCUUGAACUUCGACAGUUCCUUCGAGUUCAACAGGCACUCUUGAGUCUCUUUCUAGUUUUAAGCAACCUCGUUUGACAACUUUACUAGUCACUCGCAAGUCAUUGUUGACUAUUCAUAUCGCACCUUCUUAGUGCCAGUGGCAGACUAUCUGACCAGGGACUGGUAUGACCACGACGACCUCUUUUACAAAGUUUGUUUUGGUAUCUUUUUGGACCGUAUUCACUGAGGAGACACAGAUCCCUCGUUAGUAGAAGUAUAUGUUUCCUGUUCCAAAAAGUAGGAGUUCGUAGACCAGUCAGUAGUGGAAGAUGUUCGCGUAAAUUGAGUUGACUCAGAAGUGUACUUGGACAGUCGUCACGUAUGGGAGGAUAACUUAGGAGAAGUCUUCAACGGCUAUACGACGUUGUCGAUUAUCGGUACGUCUUCCUAUACGUCUUCGUCGAUCCAUGAUAGCAAUAACGAGGGUAACGCUUCCUUCCGUUUUCUUAACUUUGUAGUGAUCCGGCAUGUUACCUCUUUAGAUAGUUCCGAUCGUAACUACGGAACACCCGAGCAAAGGACCUCCUCUUGUGUUUUGCACUCUUCCGACUUUCCCUUGCUUACGUCGUUUACUGGUGAGAGUAGUGUUCGAGUUAUUUGUUCCUGGAAGGACGAUACAACCUAUUCAAUCAUUUCUUUCUUCAAGGAAGUGAACCUGGACAACAACGUGCCCGUUACUGUGGAUAAUAACUCUUCAGGAAUUGGAGAUAUCAACGACUACGUCAAGUCUUUCGCCACCCACUGUUCCACCACUUAGUCGACCUGUUUAGACAAUGACGUUUUGAACUUCGAUGUGAACGAUCCGUUUAGGUUUACGUUAAAGUAUGUAGACAUUUUGUCUGAGAAGUCCUACAAAAUGCGUGAUCGAAACUUAGUAACGAACAAGGUCGUAAACUUGUUAGUACGUUCUGUUACAAACUCGUUCAUCUGUCACGUAAGGUCUUUCCUUACAGACUCGUACGACAACGAUAAGUCGUCGUCCAACUCCGUCGUGUAUGAGGUAACCACGAAUGAAAUUUCCUUUGAUAGUGAAGACGCAGGAGUUAGUGGGUCUUAGAGUGUAGUCUCAAUGAACUACCCGUAGCGUUUUAAAACCGCGACCAAUGUAGUCCGUUGCGGUUACGCGUUUUAUGUUUACAAGACGUCGGGUUGUUACCAGGAUAGUGACCGGGCGGUCUCCAACUCCGUGGUAAUCUGGGCUACUUCCUCGACAGUUCUGACGAUAGACUUGUGUUUAAACUGCUCCGAAAAUGUCAUCGUGAAGUUUCUUCACUGCACAGUUAACACAGAACCAAUACGAGAGUCCAACUAAACGCACCUAAUACAUGUUACCGGGGUCAGGGAGACUUGGUCCCUCAGGAAGAUCGGGAUGAGGUCGUCGAUCGUCAACUAUAACCGUGGCUCUGUAGGGCCUUUUAAGUCACCUACUGUCUACAACGGUACCGCUAGUUAGGCUGUCUGGUUCAGUAGCGGUAUGUACAUUCCGGGUAGAAGCUCGUUCAGAUGCGGUUCAACCGAGUGGUGGCCAGCGAGGGGUGGUGGUCAGGUAACCUAUUAUCGUUAGAAGCGAACGAAUACGUACAGUAGUUGAGUCAAGACGAAUCGAUGUUCACUAAGAUCGACCGACGUCUUUGUCACCCCCUCAUACUACCAGAUAAGAAAGAAACAUAUCUCUCUUUUAAAACUCCUUUGGAUCUUCCUGCUACUUUUGACAGUGGUUCUUUUUAACAAUUCCCGACUACAUGGGCGGGGGACCACAUUUAAUCCGAACAUAACCUGAAUUUAACCUCAUAAAGGUACACUUGACAGAUGUUCAGAGAAACAAGAACUCGUGUGUCAGCAGGAAACAUCGAGGUUCAAAACUAUCACCAUCGUCGGCGAACGUCACCACUCACCGACAACGAAAGUGGGUUUUAUACUAACUACAACAAAGUCCACACACCUUCGACACGACUG
rnacentral:rRNA from 1 species